AAUAGUUUAGUGGCAUAUCAGCUUUUUUUCUCCUAAAUUUUAAUAUUUUUUUCCUUAAAAAAAUCAAAUCUAAAUAAAAAUAUUAAAAUUUAGGAGAAAAAAAGAUGGUGUACCGUUAAACUAUU
rnacentral:pre_miRNA from 1 species